rnacentral:misc_RNA from 1 species
AAGUCGUAACAAGGUUUCCGUAGGUGAACCUGCGGAAGGAUCAUUAAUGAACUGACUUUUGGAUUAGGUUGCUGCUGGCUUCUCGAAGCAUGUGCACACCUUUUCUAAUUGUUUUCAUACCCAUGUGCACCUUUUGUAGACUUUAAGAGCUUUGGUGGUGAAUCCAUAUCUUGGAUUUCUGGGAAACUGCUGCGUCAAGAACCAGCUGUUUCUGCACAGUUCUUAGUCUAUGUCUUUGUUUUACAACCCCAUAUUGUAUGUAACAGAAUGUGGUUUAUAAUAGGCCUUUGUGCCUUUAAAACUAGUACAACUUUCAACAAUGGAUCUCUUGGCUCUC